AAGUCGUAACAAGGUUUCCGUAGGUGAACCUGCGGAAGGAUCAUUAUCAUCCUAAAUAUAUAUUUUUUUGAAUUUGUAUUUAAAAAAAAUAUAUAUUACCAUAAACCAAUCGUGAACCGUUUUUGCCUCCAAUGGGGGCUUUAAAAGAAAAGAGAGAUUCAGCGAGUGCGUUCUGAAGGAAAAUUUUUCUUUCAGGAUGACAUGAAACUUGGAUGUAUUUCCUUUUUUCACACUGUUUUUCUUUUUUUUUCCUCAUUGGUUGUAUUUCAUUUUUUUUAUUUACCCUUUGAACAACUCAUUUCAUAUAAAAUAUGAACUGAAUUAAUUUUUUUUGUCCUUUCUUUUUUUGAAAGGAAGAAAAAAAAGAUAAAUAUCUAAUGAAAAAAUAAGAGAAACAACUCUUAGCAACGGAUAUCUUGGUUCUC
rnacentral:misc_RNA from 1 species